rnacentral:rRNA from 1 species
GACGAACGCUGGCGGCGUGCUUAACACAUGCAAGUCGAGCGAGAAAGCACCUUCGGGUGUGAGUACAGCGGCGAACGGGUGAGUAACACGUGGGCAACCUGCCCUGGAGAGCGGGACAACCCGACGGGAAACUACGGGCCUAAUAACCGCAUAUUCCGAUUCGGCCCAGGUCGAAUCGGGAAUGGUAGCUUCGGCCUCCGCUCCGGGAUGGGCCCGCGCCGCAUUAGCUAGUUGGUGAGGUAACGGCUCACCAAGGCGA